rnacentral:rRNA from 1 species
AACGAACGCUGGCGGCAUGCCUAACACAUGCAAGUCGAACGAGACCUUCGGGUCUAGUGGCGCACGGGUGCGUAACGCGUGGGAACCUGCCCUUAGGUUCGGAAUAACUCCCCGAAGGGGGGGUAAAAACCGGUAAAGUCUUCGGGACAAAAGAUUAAUCGCCUUUGGAUGGGCCCGCGUUGGUUUAGCUAGUUGGUAGGGUAAAAGCCUACCAAGGCGACGAUCCAUAGCUGGUCUGAGAGGAUGAUCAGCCACACUGGGACUGAGACACGGCCCAGACUCCUACGGGAGGCAGCAGUGGGGAAUAUUGGACAAUGGGCGAAAGCCUGAUCCAGCAAUGCCGCGUGAGUGAUGAAGGCCUUAGGGUUGUAAAGCUCUUUUACCCGGGAUGAUAAUGACAGUACCGGGAGAAUAAGCUCCGGCUAACUCCGUG